UACGUAGGGUGCGAGCGUUGUCCGGAAUUAUUGGGCGUAAAGAGCUCGUAGGCGGUCUGUCGCGUCGGAUGUGAAAACCCAGGGCUCAACCCUGGGCCUGCAUUCGAUACGGGCAGACUAGAGUGUGGCAGGGGAGACUGGAAUUCCUGGUGUAGCGGUGAAAUGCGCAGAUAUCAGGAGGAACACCGGUGGCGAAGGCGG
rnacentral:rRNA from 1 species